GAUGCAGCCAUGCCGCGUGUAUGAAGAAGGCCUUCGGGUUGUAAAGUACUUUCAGCAGUGAGGAAGGKGKGURCGUUAAUAGCGUGCUUMUUUGACGUUAGCUGCAGAAGAAGCACCGGCUAACUCCGUGCCAGCAGCCGCGGUAAUACGGAGGGUGCGAGCGUUAAUCGGAAUUACUGGGCGUAAAGCGCAUGCAGGUGGUUUGUUAAGUCAGAUGUGAAAGCCCGGGGCUCAACCUCGGAAUUGCAUUUGAAACUGGCAGACUAGAGUACUGUAGAGGGGGGUAGAAUUUCAGGUGUAGCGGUGAAAUGCGUAGAGAUCUGAAGGAAUACCGGUGGCGAAGGCGGCCCCCUGGACAGAUACUGACACUCAGAUGCGAAAGCGUGGGGAGCAAACAGGAUUAGAUACCCUGGUAGUCCACGCCGUAAACGAUGUCUACUUGGAGGUUGUGGCCUUGAGCCGUGGCUUUCGGAGCUAACGCGUUACGGUAGACGCGC
rnacentral:rRNA from 1 species